CGUAUGUGAAAGUUACGGAUUUUAGAAGUCGGAAGUGUGCUGUGCGAAAAUGGGUGAUGUGGCACAAUCUUGGCCAUUGCUUUCUCCCCAAGGCUUGCCACCAGAUGGUGACAUGUGGCACCAAGUUCAGCCACAUUUCACCCUAUAAAUACCACCUCUCCCACCCUCAUUUUCUUCACACCUUUCCCAUUCUUUCUUCUCUUUACUCUCUCUCUCUCUCUCUAGAACCUCUCUCUAGCCCCGAAAUCCCCCGAAAAGCCUAGGGAACCUCCCUAGCACGAGGCGGAAGCCCCGGAGUGCUCGAAGGCUCCGAGAAGAAGAGCUUUUCGGCUCGGGAACGCUGCUCCAAGCAAAGCCCGGUUUUCUAUAAAACCCGCUGUUUCGUCGAAGAAAAUUCUUUUUAAGAAGCGAAGCGCUGUCUGAGUUCGGAAUCACCACCUUUUCAGGUAGUGGCGCUUGAGCAUAUAUAUGAUGUUUGGACGAGGGAUUACGGAUAUAGGCCUGUAGAUAUGAAAUAAUGUAGUAAGGCUUGUAUUGUACUGUUUAUGCUUUUGAUCUGUACGAACAUGACAUCCCGAGUCUUUUAAUGAAAUACAUUUCUAUGGAAA